UGGUUGCAUGAAUAAGGAGUGUUGGGAGCUUCACCUGAUGGCUUAGUUGUUCGACCACCAACAUGCAGUGUAUUUUAUCAAACUCCAGAAGCCAAAGACGCCAUUCCUAAUAUUGUAGAGGUGAAGUGUCCAUAUACAGCAUCGUCUUCAACAGUAGCAGAUGGGGCACAAAAUUUGAAGGAUUUUUCAUAGAUCUUAAACAAGAUACCCUGUGCCUGAAAACCAGUCACCCAUACUAUCAUCAAAUUCAAGGCCAGCUACACAUAUGUAACAAAACAUUCUGCGACUUAAUUGUGUGGACAAGAGUAGACUGCAUUGUGAUUAGAAUAGUAAAAGACAUUGAAUGGACAGCAUAUGUUCCAAAGCUGAUAGAUUUCUACAUUAACAUUUUCAUUCCAGCACUGAUGGAAAACUGAGUUCUGGUUUGAACUUCUUGACACUUAGUUUUGUACCUCUAGAAUUUUCUAACAAUGGAAAAUGGGUAAUCAUGUUAAAUGUGUUGAAUGUUCCUAAGUCUCAUAAAUGUAUGAUAUGAUAUGUCACAAUCCAUCAUAAAACUUCUGGCUUAUAAGACUAUUUUAAAUAGCAAUGAUGAUUAAUAAAAUCUAUGUACUACAUAAAAAAAGAAUAUCAAAAUUUAGAAUCAUUUUAUUAAUGAAUUGAAGAUGUUAUUCUCAAAGUGAAAAUGUAACAUUUUGGUCUUUCUUAAUAGAUAAAUUGUUGAAAACAUGAA